UACGGGGGGGCAAGCGUUACUCGGAAUUACUGGGCGUAAAGCGUGCGUAGGUGGUUCGUUAAGUCUGAUGUGAAAGCCCUGGGCUCAACCUGGGAAUGGCAUUGGAUACUGGCGACCUAGAGUGCGGUAGAGGGAUGCAGAAUUCCAGGUGUAGCGGUGAAAUGCGUAGAUAUCUGGAGGAAUACCGGUGGCGAAGGCGGCAGUCCUGGACCGACAUUGACGCUGAUGAGCGAAAGCUAGGGGAGCAAACGGGG
rnacentral:rRNA from 1 species